CGGAGUCUUGCUCUGUCGGCAGGCUGGAGUGCAGUGGUGCGAUCUCUACUCACUGCAACCUCCACCUCCCGGGUUCAAGUGAUUCUCCUGCCUCAGCCUCAUGAGUAGCUGGGACUACAGGCACUUGCCACCACGCCCAGCUAAUUUUUGUAUUUUUGGUAGAGAUAGGGUUUCACCAUGUUGGCCAGGACGGUCUCAAUCUCAGAGGAUUUAUUUAACUCAUUCAUGAGGGAAUCCAGAGGAGGAUGAAGCUAGUUCAGAAGGUUCAUAAAGCUGAGUACGUGCAGCCACUAGAAAAAGUGGAGUCAAAUGGCCAGUUAGAAACAAAAGUGGUUAGGAUCCUACAGGGAAGCACAACUGCCACCUUUGAGGCCAUGUUAUAGAAAUCACUCACAUCUCUACUGGGCAAAAAUCCGUAAGGAAACAUGUGAUGUCACAGUGUGGGCACAAAUGUGGGUCAACUGUUAAAUAAUCGGAGCUUGUCAGACAUGACACAGCCAUGCAAUCACUCUUUUUUGCCUUAUUUCCGAGUUUUAGACAUUUUUUUAAAUAGGACUGAAAAAUAAAAAUCAAAUAUAAAAAUUAGAAUCAAGUCCAUUAAUAUUUUCUUAAUUUUUUUUUUUAACCAUUCACUAGCCCCAGUUUUGGAGGGAGGAGAGGAUGCCCAGGCCCCAGAAGCCUUUGCUGGUGGGCAUGGGGCUCUUCCUUUCCUCUCAGGCAGAGCAGCAGACUUUGCUGAAGGGCAGUCUAGGUCCACACAGCUGCCAGGGGUGGCAGAUGGGCACUGACUGCUGCAUUGCAGGCACUCAAUCAAUGCUAGUUGAGCGCCAGUGAGCGAGUGAAAGGCAACUGGGAGCCUGGUGCUGGCCGGCAGAGCAGCUAAGUUCUCAUAUGGCCAGUUUACCGUGUAAGUGCAAAGCCAGCCUCAAUCAAUCCUGCUACACUCUUCAUGAAAAGAGCAGCAGAGGGCACUUUGUUUCAAGCAGGCUGCCCAAGAACUAUGGUCACCUGCUCUGCUGGUUGAAGAAAAAAAAAAGCAGGAGUGGUGAGCAUAGAAACCAGCCUGGCCCUGGAUACUGCUUGUGGUUGCAGAACUGCAGAGAGAGCCCAUGGUCUCUCCUGCCCCGCAUUGUGUACCAGGUGUGCAGCCAGGCUCCCUCUCCGAGCAAGGACUUCUACCACCUGCCAUCACUAAAGCUGAGGUAAGGCACUGGCAACACUAGAGACCUACAGCUUUAAUGCUGGUUGAAAACAUACUUUCUCCUGUUCUGGGAAUGGCAGGCACAGUCGCUGAGAGCUUUGGCUGUGAAGUCAGACCAACCUAUGUUAGAAUUUGCCUCUGUAACUUACUGUGUGCGCGUGCACAUGCUUGAAUGUGAACUUGGGCAAGGCUACUUUCUCAUAUGUUUGCAUGCA
rnacentral:lncRNA from 10 species